AGCUUAACACAUGCAAGUCGAGGGGCAGCAUGUCCAGCAAUGGAUGAUGGCGACCGGCGGAAGGGUGCGUAACGCGUGAGCAACAUGCCCUAUACAGGGAGAUACACCAGGGAAACUUGGUCUAAUAUCCCAUAGCAUUCAUUGAAGGCAUCUUUAAUGAAUUAAAGCUUCGGUGGUAUAGGAUUGGCUCGCGUGACAUUAGCCAGAUGGUGAGGUAACGGCUCACCAUAGCAAUGAUGUCUAGGGGUUUUGAGAGGAAGGCCCCCCACACUGGGACUGAGACACGGCCCAGACUCCUACGGGAGGCAGCAGUGAGGAAUAUUGGACAAUGGAUGGAAAUCUGAUCCAGCCAUGCCGCGUGCAGGAAGACGGCCUUAUGGGUUGUAAACUGCUUUUAUACGGGAGCAAUAAGGGUUACGAGUAAUCCGAUGAGAGUACUGUAUGAAUAAGGAUCGGCUAACUCCGUGCCAGCAGCCGCGGUAAUACGGAGGAUCCGAGCGUUAUCCGGAAUUAUUGGGUUUAAAGGGUGCGUAGGCGGCCAUUUAAGUCAGCGGUGAAAUUUUGCAGCUUAACUGUAACAGUGCCGUUGAUACUGUUUGGCUAGGAUUUGGUUGUAGUGUGCGGAAUGUGUGGUGUAGCGGUGAAAUGCUUAGAUAUCACACAGAACACCGAUUGCGAAGGCAGCACACUAAGUCAUUAUUGACGCUGAGGCACGAAAGUGUGGGGAUCAAACAGGAUUAGAUACCCUGGUAGUCCACACUGUAAACGAUGAUAACUCGCUGUCGGCGAUACACAGUCGGGGCCAAGCGAAAGC
rnacentral:rRNA from 1 species